UUUUUUUUUUUUUUUUUUUUUUUUUUGAGAUGGAAAGGAGUUUUGUCUUUAAGUGGAAUUGGAGAAUGAAAUUUUGUUAAUACUAAAACUUUUGUUUUUAUUAGAUUAAUGGAAAGUGGAGUGGUCAGAGUGCUGGAGGAUGUGGAAAUUUCCAAGAGACUCACAAAAAUAACCCCAUCUACCAAUUCCAUAUAGAAAAGACUGGGCCGUUACUGAUUGAGCUACGAGGACCAAGGCAAUAUAGCGUUGGAUUUGAGGUUGUAACAGUUUCUACUCUAGGAGAUCCUGGUCCCCAUGGCUUUCUGAGGAAAUCUAGUGGUGACUAUAGGUGUGGGUUUUGCUACCUGGAAUUAGAAAAUAUACCUUCUGGGAUCUUCAAUAUCAUUCCUAGUACCUUUUUGCCUAAACAAGAAGGACCUUUUUUCUUGGACUUUAAUAGUAUUAUCCCCAUCAAGAUCACACAACUUCAGUGAUGGAGAAAUCUCAAGUUACUGGCUUUUAUACUUACCAAACAU
rnacentral:sRNA from 1 species